GGGUUAGAUUUUAGGGUUGGUUAAGGUUAGGGUUAGGUGUAGGGUUAGAUUUUAUGGUUGAUUCAGGGUUAAGGUUAGGGUUAGGUGUAGGGUUAGAUUUUAGGGUUGAUUAAGGGUUAAGGUUAGGGUUAGGUGUAGGGUUAGAUUUUAGGGUAGAUUAAGGGUUAAGGUUAGGGUUAGGUGUAGGGUUAGAUUUUAGGGUUGAUUAAGGUUAAGGUUAGGGUUAGGUGUAGGGUUAGAUUUUAGGGUUGAUUAAGGGUUAAGGUUAGGGUUAGGUGUAGGGUUAGAUUUUAGGGUUGAUUAAGGGUUAAGGUUAGGGUUAGG